UAGUAGUACGGAAUAAUUGUUGGAAACGGCAACUAAUACCGUAUAUGCCAUACGGGGGAAAAAUUUAUUGCUAUUAGAUGAGCCUAUAUUAGAUUAGCUAGUUGGUGGAGUAAUAGCCUACCAAGGCAAUGAUCUAUAGCUGAUCUGAGAGGAUGAUCAGCCACACUGGAACUGAGAUACGGUCCAGACUCCUACGGGAGGCAGCAGUGGGGAAUAUUGGACAAUGGGCGAAAGCCUGAUCCAGCCAUGCCGCAUGAGUGAAGAAGGCCUUUGGGUUGUAAAGCUCUUUUAGUGAGGAAGAUAAUGACGGUACUCACAGAAGAAGUCCUGGCUAACUCCGUGCCAGCAGCCGCGGUAAUACGGAGAGGGCUAGCGUUAUUCGGAAUUAUUGGGCGUAAAGGGCGCGUAGGCUGGUUAAUAAGUUAAAAGUGAAAUCCCGAGGCUUAACCUUGGAAUUGCUUUUAAAACUAUUAAUCUAGAGAUUGAAAGAGGAUAGAGGAAUUCCUGAUGUAGAGGUGAAAUUCGUAAAUAUUAGGAGGAACACCAGUGGCGAAGGCGUCUAUCUGGUUCAAAUCUGACGCUGAAGCGCGAAAGCGUGGGGAGCAAACAGGAUUAGAUACCCUGGUAGUCCACGCUGUAAAC
rnacentral:rRNA from 1 species